rnacentral:rRNA from 1 species
UACGGGGGAUGCAAGCGUUAUCCGGAAUUAUUGGGCGUAAAGAGUCCGUAGGUUGUUAUCAAAGCCUAUUGUUAAAUAUCAAGGCUUCACCUUGAAUCUGCAGUAGGAACCUGAUAACUUGAGUGCGGUAGGAGUAGGGGGAAUUCCCGGUGUAGCGGUGAAAUGCGUAGAUAUCGGGAAGAACACCGGAGGCGAAAGCGCCCUACUAGGCCGACACUGACACUAAGGGACGAAAGCUAGGGGAGCAAAC